rnacentral:rRNA from 1 species
AUUGAACGCUGGCGGCAGGCCUAACACAUGCAAGUCGAACGAGUGGCGGACGGGUGAGUAAUGUCUGGGAAUCUGCCUGAUGGAGGGGGAUAACUACUGGAAACGGUAGCUAAUACCGCAUACCAUCGGAUGUGCCCAAGUGGGAUUAGCUAGUAGGUGGGGUAAAGGCUCACCAAGCCGACGCUCUCUAGCUGGUCUGAGAGGAUGACCAGCCACACUGGGACUGAGACACGGCCCAGACUCCUACGGGAGGCAGCAGUGGGGAAUAUUGCGCAAUGGGGGCAACCCUGACGCAGCCAUGCCGCGUGAAUGAAGAAGGCCUUCGGGUUGUAAAGUUCUUUCGGUGGCGAGGCGUUAAUUACAGAAGAAGCACCGGCUAACUCCGUGCCAGCAGCCGCGGUAAUUC